GCGGGCCGGCCGGUCUCUCCAAGGUGGCCGAGGCUCGCGGGCGCUGCGCGGAGGGCACGGCGGGCGGCGCGGCCGGGCUCCGCUCCUAGAGCCGCUGCGGCGCAGCCCGGGCUCGGGGCACGCUCCUUGGCGAGUUGCUGCUUGUCCGUGAGGCAUCAUGAAGGCGCCCUGUGUGGUCCUGCUCACCCUUGCCGUCCUGACGCUCCUGACGUGGCUCCCGGUGUCCCUGAGCUGUAACAAAGCACUCUGUGCUAGUGAUGUGAGCAAGUGCCUCAUCCAGGUACGGCGAUGAGCAUUCACGGUCGCACAUGUCGCCGGGCAGUCUGAAGCAUAUUCCCUGUCCAGCAGCGGCGAUAAGAAUACACUGACUGAUGGUCAAUAGCAGAGGUUUAUUCACAGCAUCAGACUUUUCCAAGACAGAGACUGGACACUGUGCUGACCCUACAGCUUUGCAAGCUACUGCUCACCAUGAACAUGUUGACAUUUGG